GUCUUUGUGAGGGAAAGAAGAACACUCAUUUUAUUUCACACAACACGGCAGCUGUUGGGCUAGGACUGUCUUGAGCAGAGUUACAGAGCGAGGGAGAGAGAGAGAGAGAGAGAGAGAGAGAGAGAGAGAGACGGUGUGUGAGCUAGCAGGAGCAGCCAUUGGGUGAUCUACUCAAUCUGGGUCACUUGGAUAAACAGGUCGAGGUUUCUCUCCUCUUUUUCCCCCAUUCCUUUUAUUUUUCCACCCGGUGCAAACAAUAAUAAAUACAGCAAGUCUUAUACUAGAAGAGGACUGAGGAACAGGGAGUCUGUUUUUUGAGUGAGCACAAAUUCAUCUGUCUUGCGGAGCUGAUGCAGUGAUUUAUAAAGAGCGGACAGCCCUGGUUGACGCAGUGAAGAGGUCCUUGAGGAUUCGAGAGCAAGGUUUGCUGGCCAUGGGGAACCUCAUUAAGGUCCUUGGCAAGGAUUUAGAAAACUGUCCUCAUUUUUUCCUGGACUUCGAAAGUAAGUCUCU